rnacentral:misc_RNA from 1 species
CCGAGUUAUACAACUCCCAAACCCCCUGUGAACAUACCUAUUGUUGCUUCGGCGGGCUCUCCUUGCUCCGGCGAGGACCCCGCCAGAGGACCCCUAUAAACCCUUAUUUUAAGAAGAAUUUCUGAGUAAUUGAUAUAAAAAUCAAAAUCA